ensembl:misc_RNA 7SK 7SK RNA
GGAUGUGAGGGUGAUAUGGCUGCGACAUCUGUCACCCCAUUGAUCGCCAGGAUUAAUUCAGCUGAUCUGGCUGGCUAGGCAGGCGUCCCCUUCCUCCCUCACCGCUUCAUGUGCAUCCUUCCAGAAGCUGCGCACUUGGCCGAAGAGGACGACCUUCCCCGAUAGAGGAGGAUCGUUCUUCAGUCAGGGGUAUACAAGUAGCCGCGCUCCCCUGCUAAAACCUCUAAACAAGCUCUCAAGGUCCAUUUGUAGGAGAAUGUCGGGUAGUCAAGCUUUCAAGACUCCAGACACAUCCAAGUAAGGCGCUGCACGUGGCAGUCUGCCUUUCUUU